rnacentral:rRNA from 1 species
GAUGGACGCUGGCGGCGUGCCUAAUACAUGCAAGUCGAGCGAACAGACGAGGAGCUUGCUCCUCUGACGUUAGCGGCGGACGGGUGAGUAACACGUGGAUAACCUACCUAUAAGACUGGGAUAACUUCGGGAAACCGGAGCUAAUACCGGAUAAUAUAUUGAACCGCAUGGUUCAAUAGUGAAAGACGGUUUUGCUGUCACUUAUAGAUGGAUCCGCGCCGCAUUAGCUAGUUGGUAAGGUAACGGCUUACCAAGGCAACGAUGCGUAGCCGACCUGAGAGGGUGAUCGGCCACACUGGAACUGAGACACGGUCCAGACUCCUACGGGAGGCAGCAGUAGGGAAUCUUCCGCAAUGGGCGAAAGCCUGACGGAGCAACGCCGCGUGAGUGAUUAAGGUCUUCGGAUCGUAAAACUCUGUUAUUAGGGAAGAACAAAUGUGUAAGUAACUAUGCACGUCUUGACGGUACCUAAUCAGAAAGCCACGGCUAACUACGUG